rnacentral:RNase_P_RNA from 1 species
UGAGUCGGCCGGGUGGCCGCGGCACGGCUCGACCGUGUCGAGGAAAGUCGGGACUCCACAGGGCAGAGUGCUGGCGCGAGCCAGGUCGGGGCGACCUGACGGAAGUGCAACAGAGAGAGACCGCCGAUGGACCAGUUCGCUGGUCACAGGUAAGGGUGCAACGGUGCGGUAAGAGCGCACCAGCGUGCGGGGCGACUCGUACGGCUCGGUAAACCCCACUCGGAGCAAGGCCAAGCAGAGAGUACGGACGGCCCGUCCCGCCCGCCGCGAGGCAGGCAACUCUCGGGUAGGCCGCGUAGAUGGAUGGUCACCAGCUCGACUCCGGUCGGGCGACAGGAUCCCGCUUACAGGCCGACUCACCAC